GGGGGGAAGAGGGGAGAGGGUGGAGAGGAAGGCACCUCACUGAGCACAUGGGGAGUGGGAGCGCAGCAUCCCACCAUACCUACCUUAUGAGUGUUCAAAGGAAGACAACUGGGGCCUUGCUGCAAACCGAUUUUAAGUCUACUCCUUCAAACCACUGGCAGCCCAUGGGCCAAAGAAGCUGACCUUGCAAGGCUCCCUGGCACCCACCUGGGGGGACAUGUACCUCUCUAAACGGGCCGUGGCGCUUGUUAAAGAGGGAAAAGGGGAGUGAAGAGGGGAACAAAUCCAGAUGCAUAUGCUCCUGUACACGCCUGGAUAACCCGAAAUGCUUUGUUAUGCUCAAAACAAUAAAUAAGGUUCCGAGUGAAGCCUUCAGAAUAAAAGGUACGGAUAAAUGAUCUGCCUGCCUAUUGUGUUUAUCGUUGUUAUCGUCAGCCUUUAAAAGUAAUCUGUGUAUUUUCCUAUUUUCUCCAGAUUGGUUAGUGUAAUAUCCCUAGUGCAGCUAUCAAGGUGGUCAUAAGAACUAUGAACUACAGCAUGGGUAAGCUUGAAAAACCCAGAGAAGCUCACAUUAGCCAAGAACACCACAUAUCUGGAAGCCAGUCAACUUCACGUUUGCAGCUGACUGCCGUAUUAUGCACGAAUGUGUUUUACAUAUAGCAGACUGUAUACGGAAUAUGUCUUUAUGUUUAACAUUUUAAUUUGUAAAUGCUAAUUAGGCAGUUGGUCUCCACGGUUAUAUUAGUACAUACCUAAUCAUUUCCCACUAUAAGUAAAUGAAUACUAAAUACGGUAAACACUUUCAUUUCCCUACCUCCAAGACAGUGUUGCUUCUACAUCCAUUUUCCAAAGGCGUCCAUUCGGACAAACAGGUAUUUAUUAAAAGAAGGAUGUAAAAAAAAAAAAACGCUCCCUGUAGCACUCUUACGAUUGGGGUGCCGCUGCAGGCAUGGAGCCAACAAUCUUGGUCGGAUCGGACUCUUCCGAAGGCAGCCAGCAAAGUUUAAGUUUUGCCGAAUUAACUUGUUGCUCGUUUUAGCGUUAGUUUUUUUCUUCUCUUGAGGUACCUCGCAGGCUUCUGCUGCUGCUAACUAGCGCGGGCGUACAGCAGAACAGCCGCGCUGCUAACUCCUGUUUUGUUUAAAAUAUAACGCAGGUUACGCUUGGAGAGUUGGGGGGAGGGGGGACAGAGGAAAGCUGGAGGGAAAUCCGCUCAAUCCCGACCCCGGGAUGCUAAGCUUUGCUGUGGUCUUUCAACUCCAAAACCCUUCAGAGGCGAAAAAAAAUGUUCACUAAACUACGGCAAAUCUCAAGCAAGCCACCACAUUUCUGAAGAGAGCUGCGCUCUGGAAUGUGUUUUACUAGUCUGGAAUAUUGCUAGCGCUUACUGCGCCAAACGCGGUUUUUAGGCGGGCAGUUCUCAUUUGCCAGGUUCCAUCAUACUUAUGGACUGUGUGAUUUCCAGGGUUCCAAUUGGUCUUUCCUUCAUAGAGGCAAGGAAUAAACCUUUCCCAGUCACACGGAAACUGCUGGGACCACAGCACGGGGAAACAAAGUGGCUUCAACCCCCCCCACCCCGUGGCCCCUGUUCCCCCCUUCCCGCCCUGGGGGCUGCCUGGGACAUUCCCCUGCCAGGUGCGUUAAAGGAUGCUGCAGCCACGCGGAUCCGCCCCUGCUUAGCAUCCUGCCGCUGGACAGGGGUGAGAAGCAGACGUGUGUAGGCAGGAAUACAAAACAAA